rnacentral:sRNA from 1 species
UGAGCCCAGUGAACAUCGACCGUCAGGCCUGGCUUGGCGAGGAGGUGCUGGCCGAGCCCCGGCCGGACAUGUUUCGGGCACAGCAGCUUCAGAUCUUCAACUUGAUGAAGUUCGACAGCUAUGCGCGCUUCGUCAAGUCCCCGCUGUACCGCGAGUGCCUGCUAGCCGAAGCCGAGGGACGCCCUCUGCGGGAACCUGGCUCCUCGCGCCUCGGCAGCCCUGACGCCACGAGGAAGAAGCCGAAGCUGAAGCCCGGGAAGUCGCUGCCGCUGGGUGUGGAGGAGUUGGGGCAGCUGCCACCCGUUGAGGGUCCCGGGGGCCGCCCUCUCCGCAAGUCCUUCCGCCGGGAGCUGGGCGGGACUGCAAACGCCGCCUUGCGCCGAGAGUCUCAGGGCUCCCUCAACUCCUCCGCCAGCCUGGACCUUGGCUUCCUAGCCUUCGUCAGCAGCAAAUCUGAGAGCCACCGGAAGAGCCUUGGGAGCACGGAGGGUGAAAGUGAAAGCCGGCCAGGGAAGUACUGCUGUGUGUACCUGCCCGACGGCACAGCCUCCUUGGCCCUGGCCAGACCUGGCCUCACCAUCCGAGACAUGCUGGCAGGGAUCUGUGAGAAACGAGGCCUCUCUCUACCUGACAUCAAGGUCUACCUGGUGGGCAAUGAACAGGUGGGAACCUGACCUGGCUCCAACUCUAACCUCCUUCCUGAUCCUGACCCCAACUCCAUUUCUGUCUCUGCUCAGUCAUGGCUCCAACCCCAAUUCAAGUUCUAAACCCAACUCCAAAGCACCCUCAGCACCAACUUUCACUCACUCAGACAUCC